rnacentral:rRNA from 1 species
AGUGAACGCUGGCGGUAGGCCUAACACAUGCAAGUCGAACGGCAGCACAGUAAGAGCUUGCUCUUACGGGUGGCGAGUGGCGGACGGGUGAGGAAUACAUCGGAAUCUACUUUUUCGUGGGGGAUAACGUAGGGAAACUUACGCUAAUACCGCAUACGAUCUACGGGUGAAAGCAGGGGAUCUUCGGACCUUGCGCGAUUGAAUGAGCCGAUGUCGGAUUAGCUAGUUGGCGGGGUAAAGGCCCACCAAGGCGACGAUCCGUAGCUGGUCUGUGAGGAUGAUCAGCCACACUGGAGCUGAGACACGGUCCAGACUCCUACGGGAGGCAGCAGUGGGGAAUGUUAGGCAAUGGGCGGAAGCCUGAUCCAGCCAUACCGCGUGGGUGAAGAAGGCCUUCGGGUUGUAAAGCCCUUUUGUUGGGAAAGAAAAGCAGCAGGUUAAUACCCCGCUGUUCUGACGGUACCCAAAGAAUAAGCACCGGCUAACUUCGUG